rnacentral:rRNA from 1 species
AACGAACGCUGGCGGCAGGCCUAACACAUGCAAGUCGAACGCACCGCAAGGUGAGUGGCGCACGGUUGAGUAACACGUGGGAAUGUAUCCUUUGGUUCGGAAUAACGUCUGGAAACGGACGCUAAUACCGGAUGAGCCCUACGGGGGAAAGAUUUAUCGCCGAGGGAGCAGCCCGCGUCUGAUUAGGUAGUUGGUGGGGUAAAGGCCUACCAAACCGACGAUCAGUAGCUGGUCUGAGAGGAUGAUCAGCCACACUGGGACUGAGACACGGCCCAGACUCCUACGGGAGGCAGCAGUGGGGAAUAUUGGACAAUGGGCGCAAGCCUGAUCCAGCCAUGCCGCGUGAGUGAUGAAGGCCUUCGGGUUGUAAAGCCCUUUCGCACACGACGAUGAUGACGGUAGUGUGAGAAGAAGCCCCGGCUAACUUCGUGCCAGCCGCCGCCGUAACAC